rnacentral:misc_RNA from 1 species
GAUGAAGAACGUAGCGAAAUGCGAUAAGUAAUGUGAAUUGCAGAAUUCAGUGAAUCAUCGAAUCUUUGAACGCACAUUGCGCCCCCUGGUAUUCCGGGGGGCAUGCCUGUUCGAGCGUCAUUUCACCACUCAAGCCUCGCUUGGUAUUGGGCAACGCGGUCCGCCGCGUGCCUCAAAUCGACCGGCUGGGUCUUCUGUCCCCUAAGCGUUGUGGAAACUUUCGCUAAAGGGUGUUCGGGAGGCUACGCCGUAAAACAACCCCAUUUCUAAGGUUGACCUCGGAUCAGGUAGGGAUACCCGCUGAACUUAAGCAUAUCAAUAAGCCGGAGGA